GCGGGUGUUGCCAAGUGGUAAGGCAUUAGCUUCCCAAGCUAACAUUCGUCGGUUCGAAUCCGAUCACCCGCU
rnacentral:tRNA from 1 species